UAUUUUGCAAGAAAAUAGUUUAUUUUAUUGAAUAUUUUUAUUAUAUUCAAAUGGUCAAAUUUUCACUUCAAAUGAACGUUUUAAAUACUUAAUUUUUUUAAAUCAUUAAAUAUAUAUUUUCGGCUUACCUACUACAUUUUUAGCAAGUUUCGAGGUUUUCAACAAAAAUGACGAAAAUGCCCCUGUGAGCCAAAAAAAAAUAUGUUAUGUUAUGAUUUGGAAAUGAUUUGUAAUCCUUCGUAUUUUGAUUAUUUGAUAACUAUUGCUCACCGGGGAAGUGCUAAAGCUGAUACGAGAGCCUUGCGAAGUUUCGAUCGACAUUCGGG
rnacentral:lncRNA from 1 species